GGGGAUUUAGCUAAGUGGUAGAGCGCUUGCCUAGCAAGCAUAAGGCCCUGGGUUCGGUCCCUAGCUCCA
rnacentral:tRNA from 1 species